rnacentral:rRNA from 1 species
GACGAACGCUGGCGGCGUGCCUAAUACAUGCUACUAGAACGCUGAAGAGAGGAGCUUGCUCUUCUUAGAUGAGUUGCGAACGGGUGAGUAACGCGUAGGUAACCUGCCUUGUAGCGGGGGAUAACUAUUGGAAACGAUAGCUAAUACCGCAUAACAAUAGGUGACACAUGUCAUUUAUUUGAAAGGGGCAAUUGCUCCACUACAAGAUGGACCUGCGUUGUAUUAGCUAGUAGGUGAGGUAACGGCUCACCUAGGCGACGAUACAUAGCCGACCUGAGAGGGGGAUCGGCCACACUGGGACUGAGACACGGCCCAGACUCCUACGGGAGGCAGCAGUAGGGAAGCUUCGGCAAUGGGGGCGACCCUGACCGAGCAACGCCGCGUGAGUGAAGAAGGUUUUCGGAUCGUAAAGCUCUGUUGUAAGUCAAGAACGAGUGUGAGAGUGGAAAGUUCACACUGUGACGGUAGCUUACCAGAAAGGGACGGCUAAGUACGUG